rnacentral:lncRNA from 1 species
GCUCUCUUCAUCUAUCUAUGUCUCUCGGCUUUGUCACUAUAUUACUGUUUGUCUGUCGAUGGCCUGUCUCCUUCCUUCCUGAACGCAGCCUCGCCAGUCCAGUGCUGUGAGCUGGGCCCUCCAUGGAGAAGGAACCUGAGUUUGCUGAUCCUAAGGGAAAUGCUGUUGUGGAGGCCACGGGGGCAUUAUCUAUCAAGGAGACAGAGAGCCCUCUCGGGGACAAUGCCUUGCACACUCCACAUCACCCUGUUUGGCCCCGGAGGAUGGCUGGUUAGUCAAAUAUGGGUAAGAUUCCUCAAGGGAGGGACAACCUAAGACAGGCCCAGCCGCAGAGGGGCCAUCAGAGGCACAGAACUUCACCCCCACCAACCUUGGAAAAGGCCUAAUUCUUCACCCCUUCUGAGAGGUCUCCUGCCCCAUGGCUGCUUUGCUCCCCAUGUCCACCUCAGAUCAGAACCCAAGUGACAGACAGAGACCUAGUCAACAGCGACUGCCUGCUCCCCACAGCAGGAGACAACUGCAGCUACAGGGAUGGGCCGUGUCUGGGUGCUUUUCUCUUUCUUGGUUCUUCUCAUUUUUUAAUGCUUUUCCCUUUUCCUUUCUUCUCUCAUCAGGGUUCUCCUUCAGCAACAAAUUUAAUAAAAGGGGAGGAGGUGUUGGAAAAACUUCCAGUUACAACUAGCAGCUACGAGCAGCUUGCAGUGCUUGAGGAAUCCGCAUUCCUUCAGGCCUGACAGGAACACCUGCAGGAUGGGGUGCUCUGCUCUAGGAGCCGUCCAUGAAACCACAUCCUCCGCACUGUGGUUAGCAUUGCCAAACUACCAGGCCAGGAAACCGAGUCAGGGGCUGCAGGGCAUGAAAUCCCUGACUCAAUAAGCCCUUCUCUUAGGGCCAAAGACCCUUUCAGAUUGCUUUCCACCACGACAGCAAUAUUUAGAGUUUCCUCACAGUGUGGUUACAUUAGGCAGAAGAUGAUUGGCUUAUGGAUAUUGUCUUGCUUAUGUAUGAUUGACAGGCACGUCCCACUCAAACCCUAUAACAGUUGUGUGCAUUCCAAAAAGAAACUGAGCUACUGGAGUCGAGUUGAGGUUUGUCACCAGUCAGUUCUCACCAGCUCCCGGAGUCUGUGUGUUGAGUCCGAAUGUCUCUUACCCCCCCACACCCCUGCGACUAAGUUAGCCAAGCAACUAAUUCACCACACCAGUGACAGGAACAUAUGCAAGACAGCAUAUGAGAAACCUAAACCAGCCAAUUAUGCUGGUCUUUAAUGAUACAGUAUAUAUGAACAAUUGUCAGAAAGAUUAUUAAAAUAGAUUUUCCAAGAGUAUUUACAUUACUGACAGACCUAAUAGACUCCUUAAAUGUGAGAAUUAAGAAAAAAGAUGAUAAAUAUCUUGUAACCUGUAAAAAUACAACUUAUUGUAUCAUUAGUUUAUUGCCAGCUAAUAUUUCAGAGCUAUGAUAUGCUGAGGUUAAUAUUCAGGCUUUAAAACAGGUGUAUGUCAAUUAACCAGACCUAAGCAAACUGCUGGUCUCAUAAUCCCUAAAGUGACUACUUUAAAUAUUAUUCCUUGCUUAUUCAAUUGUAGCCUUUGUGGCUAUACCUUAAAAUUUACAAUGUAUGGAUUUUCUUAAUGUUUGACUUAAAUUACUUCCAAAAUCCUUCAUGGUCAGAUAAGCUGAUGGAAGGAUGAGAACUAAGUUAUAAUGCUCUAGAAGACAAUGUAAUAAAUAAUGUGAAUGAGCCCUCUGCUAAUGAAAAUGUCUAUGUUACUAUGGCCAAAUGCAAUGCCUCCCAAUAAAAUUGGAAAAAG